GGGGACGCUACGGAUUCGACAGGGGUAGUUCGAGCUUAAGUCGCGAGUCGAGGGGAUCGGCCUCGUAAAAACGUCAAAGCCUAUAACUGGCAAAGAAAACAACAACUUCGCUUUAGCAGCUUAAUAACUGUCUAAUGCGGUUCCUCCCUCCAUCGCCCAUGUGGUAGGGUCAGGGACUCACUCUUAGUGGGCUACGCCGGAGUUCGCCGUCUGAGGACGAAGGAAGAGAA
rnacentral:tmRNA from 1 species